UAGCCCUUAGUACGGCGAGUGAGCGGCAAAAGCUCACAUUUGAAAUCUGGCGUCUUCGACGUCCGAGUUGUAAUUUGAAGAAGGCGACUUUGUAGCUGGUCCUUGUCUAUGUUCCUUGGAACAGGACGUCAUAGAGGGUGAGAAUCCCGUGUGGCGAGGAUCCCAGUUAUUUGUAAAGUGCUUUCGACGAGUCGAGUUGUUUGGGAAUGCAGCUCUAAGUGGGUGGUAAAUUCCAUCUAAAGCUAAAUAUUGGCGAGAGACCGAUAGCGAACAAGUACAGUGAUGGAAAGAUGAAAAGAACUUUGAAAAGAGAGUGAAAAAGUACGUGAAAUUGUUGAAAGGGAAGGGCAUUUGAUCAGACAUGGCGUUUGCUUCGGCUUUCGCUGGGCCAGCAUCAGUUUUAGCGGUUGGAUAAAUCCUCGGGAAUGUGGCUCUGCUUCGGUAGAGUGUUAUAGCCCGUGGGAAUACAGCCAGCUGGGACUGAGGAUUGCGACUUUUGUCAAGGAUGCUGGCGUAAUGGUUAAAUGCCGCCCGUCUUGAA
rnacentral:rRNA from 1 species